UGGGGAGUACGCCGGCAACGGUGAAACUCAAAGGAAUUGACGGGGGCCCGCACAAGCGGAGGAACAUGUGGUUUAAUUCGAUGAUACGCGAGGAACCUUACCCGGGCUUAAAUUGCAACCGAAUAUGGCGGAAACGCCAUAGCUAGCAAUAGCGGUUGUGAAGGUGCUGCAUGGUUGUCGUCAGCUCGUGCCGUGAGGUGUCGGCUUAAGUGCCAUAACGAGCGCAACCCUUGCCGAUAGUUACUAACAGGUUAUGCUGAGGACUCUGUCGGGACUGCCAUCGUAAGAUGUGAGGAAGGUGGGGAUGACGUCAAAUCAGCACGGCCCUUACGUCCGGGGCUACACACGUGUUACAAUGGGGGGUACAGAGGGCUGCUACCACGCAAGUGGAUGCCAAUCCCAAAAACCUCUCUCAGUUCGGAUUGAAGUCUGCAACCCGACUUCAUGAAGCUGGAUUCGCUAGUAAUCGCGCAUCAGCCACGGCGCGGUGAAUACGUUCCCGGGCCUUGUACACACCGCCCGUCAAGCCAUGGGAGCCGGGGGUACCUGAAGUGCGUAACCGCAAGGAGCGCCCUAGGGUAAAACUGGUGACUGGGGCUAAGUCGUAACAAGGUAACCGU
rnacentral:rRNA from 1 species